AUUCCUUCCCCGCAUCUGCUAGAGAGCAGGGCAAGGCCAAAGGGUCAGAGGCUCGAGGAAUGCGGGGUGGUGUCGGGGGGUAAAAGGACAUACCUGAGAAGGCCCCAGACCCUCGCUCCACCAGGAGGUAAGGAAACUGAAGCCUCAGGCGAAGAGAUGAUUUCAAAGAACUUCAGAGCUAAGAGUCUUCUUCGACUAAAGAACUUGAAGGGCCAGUUCCAGAGACCCUGUGACCUCAGGCUCCAGAGAUGGCUCCGUAAGGCAAACUCACCAUGACCACUGGUCAAUGACUCACUUCUCCUCCCAGGCGCCCUCCCAGGGAUGAGCGCUCCUUCACUCUGCCUCCCUCAGCCCUUGCUCCGGUCUCUCUGCAGCUGGGGUCAGUGUUCCCAGUGAAGUCAGCGUGUGGAGCACACAUGCCUCGUACCCACAUUCAUGCCCAUGUGUGCGUGUGCACACGCAUGUGGGGCCUGUGUGUCUCUUUCUCUGAGACCCACUCAAGAUCUGCAUGCACCUCGGGCCCCCUCCCAGAGUGCUGCAGCCAGAUGCACCUGGAGCCCCACCCGUCAGCCCAGGGAGACAUGCCCCUGCUGAAUUCAGAGAAUGAUCCAGAAGGAUUCAGGAAAUGAGGACCAUUCAUGAACCCAGCGACUGAUGAAGAGCACCUUCCUCACAUCCGCUGCCAAACUCACCCGAAAAGAAGAGACAGAGGAAGACCCCAGAGGAUUGCAAUUUGAGGACACCUCCAACUCAUGCUCACUGCACUUGGUCCAAAAUGAUCAGAGGGGAGAUUUGGCUCAUGCUCUGGCCUCACUGGCUCCCAUCACCAUUGCCUCUGCCCCUCCAGCCUCUGCCAGGCGCCUGGCUCUGACCCUUGCUGACACUUCAGGCCCCUCACCCUUAGAACUGACUGCCAAAGGGCUAGUUGCUUAGUCUUCAAGUAAAGGGGGUCUGGAGGACUAUGGAGGAGGCAUAGUGCCUAGAGAGCCCCUCGCCUCAAGACACCCCCACUGCACUUGGGAGGAAAGGCAGGGCUGGGGGAUGGAGGCACUGUGGGGGCCUUUCCUAUUUGGCAGCAGCUGCAGCCAUGCGCACCAUAGCCACAGCACGCAGCACACAUCUUCUGUCUCACAGUGAUUGAAGAUUUUGCCAAACCACCGGUCAGACAGAUUUCCCCCCAAGCCCCACAUUAAUUGAUUUUUGGAUUCUGCAACCCAAGCUCAAGCUCAAGCUCCGAGCUCACUGCUGAGCUCAGACUCCUGGGUGUCCCACAACGGCUUCGAUGUGGAGGCCAUGACGCUGAAGCCAAAGUUGUCAGACACCUGGGCUGCACUUGCCUGUGCAACGAGCCUGGGAAAGCAGCUCUGGGGAUUGCACCCACAGUGCCAGGGCUCGGGAGCCUCUGAGCUCAGGGAGGCCUUCAGGGACAGGCGCUCGGCCAGCUGCCUGGGUAGGCUACUAAUGAGCAGAUGUGUUCCAGGCUGUCUGCCCAAGGGGCAGCUGCACCUGGGCUGGAGAGCUGAGACUCUCUGGGGUUCUGCAGCCUCUGUCCUCCUCAGCCUGGCCCGACAGCCCCUCGUUCUGAUACAGGAGGGCACAGCUGCCUGACGCCCCUCCUUCCCCAUCUCUGCCUCUCUAAUCUUCCUUGAGGAAGAUUCCAUCAGAGGUUUUACUUACAUAUUCCUACACCAUGCCUGGAACAUAGUAGGUACUCAAUAAAUCCAACUUUUCCUGAGUUAGUGGUGAGGAAAAGCUGGACUCAGGAUCAGGCUGCCUGUGAAGCCUGGCCUGUAGCCUGCCAGCUCUCCCAGCCUCAGGGUCCUCACACCCACACGUGUGUGCAGUAACAGAGCACUUCUUGCCUGCAACAGUGCCUGGUUCCCAGUGUAUGCCACUGGGAUCCGUAUUAUUAUUAAGUGAUCCGUAUUAUUAUUUUAUCUUAAGAGAGGAAUCCAGCUGUGUCCAAAUGAGGGGUUGGGACAAAAUAAAAGCUAGAAUCCAGUCUUGCAGGUGGGGACAUGGCACCUGGGUCUCCACACUGACCCGUGCUGCCCACCCUCUCACAUGCUAUCUAGAGACGGCACUCCUUGUGGAAUGCUGCAGGAGGUGCUCCACUGGCACGAAGUGGGUGGGCUCUUAGCACAGACCCAAACAGUAAGUGACUUUUCACACUCCCAUCGCAUCUCCAAAGCUACAUGCAAAACACUGAUCUUCACAGGGGUUAGAACACAACUUCCAGAAGGCCUCUUUCUUUUUUUUUUUUUUCUCCCUUUUUUUUUUUUAUUAUUAUACUUUAAGUUCUGAGAUACAUGUGCAGAACAUGCAGGUUUGUUACAUAGGUAUACAAGAGCCAUGGUGGUUUGCUGCACCCAUCAACCCGUCAUCUACAUUACGUAUUUCUCCUAAUGCUAUCCCUCCCCUAACCCCCAACCCCCUGGCAGGCCCCAGUGUGUGAUGUUCCCCUCCCUGUGUUCAUGUGCUCUCACUGUUCAACUCCCACUUAUGAGGGAGAACAAGCAGUGUUUGGUUUUCUGUUCCUGUGUUAGUUUGCUGAGAAUGAUGGUUUCCAGCUUCAUCCAUGUCCCUGCAAAGGACAUGAAGUCAUCCUUUUUGAUGGCUGUAUAGUAUUCCAUGGUGUAUAUGUGCCAUGUUUUCUUUAUCCAGUCUAUCAUUGAUGGGCAUUUGGGUUGGUUCCAAGUCUUUGUUAUUGUGAACAGUGCUGCAAUAAACAUACGUGUGCAUGCGUCUUUAUAGUA